CUGUCCCCUUGAGUUCCCUUAAACGCUUCAUUGUUCAUACUUUGUGUUCUAAGAUCUAUGAUCUAUCGACCGAUAAAUCAAUCUGAUGAACACUGAAGUGUUUGGGGGGACUCUAGGUGACAU